CGCUUGCUUGUGUCUGUUUUGAGGAUUCUCUGCCAGCUCUAGGAAACAAUGUGUUGUUCGAGUAGGCCAUUACAUAUGGAAAACAUGAAUUUCUUUUAAAUUCUGAUGACUUUGCUUACAUUUAAAAAAAAAAUUGCAGCAUAUUUAAAUAUUGUUCGAUUUUUUUAUAUUGAUCUGUGAUUUUUAUUUAUUUUUGCGCUUACAAUUUUUUUAUCUGCACUUAUUAUUUUAAUUCACGGUUAUUAUUUUUGGAUCCUUGACCACAAUACUUUUGAUGGAAUUUUUAUCCCAUAGACUUUGAGUCGCGGCUGUCUUGAGUUUUGCUCUGAGCAAUGGUGGGCGGAGUUAGUGUAAAUGGCCUUUGCCAUCAAGAUGGGCUAUUUGCACUUAGUGUAAAGAUACUCAGUUUAAUUUCAGGGACAAACCUUGUGGCAUUAUCAGCACUAAUGUCCACAACAGAGGUCCAAAUGAGCAUAGCAAAGAAAGAGACAUGCAGUGCCUUUUACCUUUAGGGAGAAACUCCUCCACUGAGCCAGAGCAUCACUAAAUGAUGACACUCAAAUGUACCUGCCUCCGAGAUGCUCAAACAAUAAUGUUCUCGGACCUCCUGGAUAUCCCUCCCUCUCAAAGGGGCUUGGUAUGUUCCAAACUAGAAUGUCUUUCUUUAGUGGAAGAUAUUGAAAUAUUCAGUCUCAGUCACCAUUCAUUUUUAUAGAAAAAAAGAUGCAAUGAAAGUGAAUGGUGAAUGAGAAUUUCUGUCCCUUCUGCCUUCUAUGUCCUUUUGCAUUUCUCUGAAUAAAAAAAUCAUACAGGCUCAGAACAGCACAAGGGUGUGUGUAUAUGAUGACAGUUUAAAUUUUUGGGGGGGAGGGGUG